GAAAGUUGAAAUUAUAGGAGUGAGCUC
rnacentral:piRNA from 1 species